rnacentral:lncRNA from 1 species
AUAAGGCGUUGUAGCCAAAUUCUUCCCUUAAAGAACUAAAGUAUUCACAUUCUUGAAUUUUCUCUUUAUUUUUCAAAGUGUUUGUAUUUUUGUUGAUGAUGUGACUGUACUUGAAGUUUUGAAGUUUCAAGUUGCCUACGUACCCUCGAUUAAGGAGGGAUCAAGUCAUGAUGUAGUUCAAAUGAGUGAUGGAUUGUUUUUUUUUUAUGGUUUUGAUGGUGAUUUUACCGUACACAGUUAAUGCUCUUGUGGGCUAGGAGUAUUGAGUGUUGCCUUUUAAGCUCGU